UUAUAUCUUUGACUUGAGAUGUUAGAUUUACUGAGAAUUUUGGGGUCUUUCUUAUUUUCUUUGAAGUUCUAACAAAAAUAUUUAAUGUAAAACAUGUAGUAAUUAAUACACAAAAAUUUUUAGAUCUUUGAAUACAGAAGAAGCUUGGGAGAAAGGGUCAAGGUUCCUAUGGAGUAGAGACUUCAGAUACAUUUUCAGAAGCAGUGUUUCUUGUGUUACGUAACAGAAUUCAUGUGCAUAACUUUUCUAUGAAAUUACUAUGAUUUUUUUUUUUUUUUGCUUUUUAUUAUUCAGUUCACUAUUACAUAGACUUGAUCAUAAAAAUCAUUGAAACUUUUCCUAGGCAUCAGUUUGUUGUUAUUGAGAAUGGAGCCUUCUGUCUCUGGUUGCAUCAUCUGAAAUAAGGCAUGUGCUUUGGAACAGGGAUUCCGGAGAGCUGUUCCUUGGGAUCCUGGGAAGCAGGUUUUAGAGUACCUUGCUGUUAUCAGAUAAGAGGUGCUGAUGGCUGGGAUGAUAAAAACAAAUUGAAGAUGAGUACCUCAGCAACAUGCAAGAGUGUAGAUGCUUCAGCUGGGAGCUUUACAACAAAACAGAUGGAUGUUGGGACUGAAGAAAUAGGGAUGCUACAAGUUUUGGGGCAUGAGCAAGGAGCUGAGUUUAAAAGGUGCUUUGAGGCAGAGUCAAGGACAUCAGAUCAGAAAAAAAGCAGGACUAAAGAAGCUUGGGAACUGAAAAGUGAGAGAGCAGUAAGGAGGACUGGGAGUGUGAAACAGGUUGUAUGGGGUCAGUAA
rnacentral:lncRNA from 1 species